rnacentral:rRNA from 1 species
AACGUAGGUGGCGAGCGUUAUCCGGAUUUACUGGGCGUAAAGGGUGUGCAGGCGGGCUGUUAAGUGGUGUAUGAAAUAUCCCGGCUCAACCGGGAGAGGUUAUGCCAGACUGGCAGUCUAGAGAGCGAGAGAGGGACGUGGAAUUCCGGGUGUAGUGGUGAAAUGCGUAGAGAUCCGGAGGAACCCCAGAGGCGAAGGCGGCGUCCUGGCUCGCAUCUGACGCUCAGACACGACAGCAUGGGGAGCGAACAGG